rnacentral:lncRNA from 1 species
UUGUUUUCAGGUAUAUGGAAACUGGGAAAUAAAAUCCUAAGAAAAAAAUGCAAGAUAUUAAUACAAACACAGAAGAAUAUAGUACUUCUUUAUAUAUCUUAAACGUCUAUCUUUCCUGUAGUCUUUUGCUUGAUAUUCUUCUCAAGCAAGAGAACUAUGCCUCUGCCAGAAUCAGUCCAGAUUUAAAGGUUCUUUCUGGUGAUCACACUUCAGUCCUACUUAAUCCUCUACGCUCUAGUGAAUUCAAUUUCUGGAGUAGGAUUUGGAGUUUCAGAUAUUACAAGGUUCCCUUGUCUGAAAUCAGCAAAGGAAAUGUCUGCCACAAAAGAAGAAAUAGCUUUCAUGCACUUUUUCUUUUCUUAGUAUCAGCUAUGUAUAUCUAAAAAUUAUAAACACUGCAUAAUCCAUGCUAUAGUUCUUUCCUUCCCUCCUCUGCUUCCUUAGUACUAAAAGAAAGGUUAUCUCUUGCCUACUGAGAUUAUAUGUUUAUCAGUCUACAUUUUAUUUGGAUUAAUAUAGAUGUGGCUUUCUUCCUUUGAUUACAAGAGAUGUGCAGCCUGCUGUUUGUUUUGAUUCAUCCUUUCCCUCUGUUCACUGCAAAGGUCUGAAUCUUAUCAUUUACCUUCCAUACUAAUGUAGCAGCUUUUCAGCCUAGUAAUCAAAUACUUGACUGAACAUGGUGUAUUCUUGUCUGUAUCUUACAUGAAAUAUAAAAAACUGCAAAACUACAGGCCAAGCAAAUCUUUCACACUGUUAAUUCUUAUCAGCAACUACAGAUCUUUAUAAGACUGAGUCCUGCACUCAGAAUCACACACUGAAAAUGAAAGCACCAGUUAAUGCAUUUUUCAGUUUUUACUGUGAAUGAAGAAAAUAAUAGCCAAUAUACUUCAAAGAUUCACAUUGUCAAAGAUCAGCAGAAAUUUUUAUGUCCAGCUGAUAAGGAACAGAAAAAUCUACCUUUUAACUUUGAAAUUAAUUUGAGGACCUACAUCUUCUCUCUGCUCUUUUGUUAUUACAUUAAAAAAAGAAGCAGUUCAAGAAUGAAUCUUUGUAAUGAAAUAGCUCCAGUAAUUUCUUAAGCCAGAAGUAUCAUUUUCAAACACAUCUAAAUGAUUUAGAAAUUAUAUCAAAUUUCACUUACAGAUUUAAGGUUAAAGGAAGUUUUAAAAAGUGGUUUAGAUACCUCUGAGACUAUGAAAAUCCCAGAGGCUAGUGGAAUUAAAUCUUAUGUAUCUCAAUAUUCAAAUCACUCAUUGAAAUGUUUAUAAAGAAUUUACCUUUUUUUUUCUUCUAGUAUACUUCAGUUAUAUUUAAAAUAUUGUUCUAUAUUGGUCAUUAUUUCUGAGAAUUGUGUUGGGGGGUUUUUAUGCAUUUCCUAUCAAA